rnacentral:tRNA from 1 species
GCGCCGGUGAUGUAAGGCGAACAUCGCUGCCCGGAAAGCAGAAGAUGCGGGUUCGAGUCCCGCUUGGCGCA